UUGAAGUAUAGCAUGUCAGCAUUAGAAGUAUAAGGGUCUGGGUUGCUCUUGUUCACAAAGUUACACCGUGUGGCUUUAUCACUGAUCUCUAUGCCUACAUUAGCCAUCCCCCAAGUCUGUUAAUUGGAGAGAUAUCUUUGGUGGAGCUACCAUUGAUGUUGGUCAUCUAUAAUUGCUAUUGAAUAAUUUAUGGGUUAGUUGUUGACAUAUAUUUUUGCUCUGUUUUAGCCUUUUAGGUUGAUGCUAUGCUUCUGGAAUUAGAAAAGGAGAUUGAUGAUGUGGAUGCACAAAUUGGAAACGGCUGGCAACUGCUUUGAUAGGAGAACAUACCCCUGGAGGAGCCAUUCGAGAACCUGAGAUGCAGCCACCGAACAGAUGCACCAGCACCUCUAAUCUUGGGCCCAAGCAAGCUCAAAGAGAUGGUGGAGAGCAACCAAACUAGCUAGGGUGGCCUGAUGAGGUCCUGUAUGAGGCUUUGCUUGUGAUUCAUAUCAUAUUAGGUCUUGUAUGAUGAUGCGUGUGUGGUUGAUGCUCACGUACUAGCUAAGGUCAGCGUACUCCGAUGAGAAGAUGCCUCCUGAAGGAUUGCUUGAGUUGUGGUUACACUUGUCGAAUUUAUGUCCUCUUGUUGAACACGGUCUACUACACUGACGAAGUGACGAUGGUGAAUCAGUUGCUGAAGCUGAGGUGUGGUAAAUUACUAUGUCCCCCCAUGUCCCAGUAUCUUGUUGUAGUAUGAUAGUUGCAG